rnacentral:rRNA from 1 species
GGCCAAGCAAAAAAGAGCGCAGGGCGGAUGCCUUGGCACUGAGAGCCGAUGAAAGACGUGAUAAGCUGCGAUAAGCUUCGGGGAGGAGCAAAUAUCCUAUGAUCCGGAGAUUUCUGAAUGGGGAAACCCACAUGAAGGAACUUCAUGUAUCCAUACGCCAAUCCAUAACGUAUGGAGGGGAACCCGGUGAACUGAAACAUCUAAGUAGCCGGAGGAGGAGAAAGAAAACUCGAUUUCCUAAGUAGCGGCGAGCGAACGGGAAAGAGCCCAAACCAGCGUGCGAGCAUGCUGGGGUUCGGACUGCAUAAUUGAUUCGUCAAGGGUAAUGGAACGGUUUUGGGAAAGCCGGCCAGAGAGGGUGAAAGCCCCGUACAUGAAACCCAAGAUGACAUGGCAGGAUCCAGAGUACCACGAGACACGGGAAACCUUGUGGGAAGGAGCGGGGACCACCCCGUAAGGCUAAAUACUCCUCAGUGACCGAUAGUGUAUAGUACUGUGAAGGAAAGGUGAAAAGGACCCCGGGAGGGGAGUGAAAGAGAACCUGAAACCCUGUGUUUACAAGCUGUGGAACAUCUUUAAAGGAUGAACCGCGUACUUUUUGUAGAACGGUCCGGCGAGUUGUGCAUGCUGGCAAGGUUAAAUUCCAGGAGGGAUGGAGCCGUAGGGAAACCAAGUCUUAAGAGGGCCAGAGUCAGUAUGUGCAGACCCGAAACCGGGUGAUCUAUCCAUGUCCAGGUUGAAGCUGCCGUAAAAGGCAGUGGAGGACCGAACCCACAUCCGUUGAAAAGGGUGGGGAUGAGGUGUGGAUAGGGGAGAAAUUCCAAUCGAACCCGGAGAUAGCUGGUUCUCCUCGAAAUAGCUUUAGGGCUAGCCUCGGCAGAGAUACGUGGAGGUAGAGCACUGAAUUUCCUAGGGGGCGUCAAAGCCUACCGAAGAAUAUCAAACUCCGAAUGCCAUGAUAUUGCUUGCC